GACGAACGCUGGCGGCGUGCUUAACACAUGCCAGUCGAACGGAAAGGCCCUGCUUUUGUGGGGUGCUCGAGUGGCGAACGGGUGAGUAACACGUUAGUAACCUGCCCUUGACUUUGGGAUAACUUCAGGAAACUGGGGCUAAUACCGGAUAGGAGCUCCUGCUGCAUGGUGGGGGUUGGAAAGUUUCGGCGGUUGGGGAUGGACUCGCGGCUUAUCAGCUUGUUGGUGGGGUAGUGGCUUACCAAGGCUUUGACGGGUAGCCGGCCUGAGAGGGGGACCGGCCACAUUGGGACUGAGAUAGGGCCCAGACUCCUACGGGAGGCAGCAGUGGGGAAUAUUGCACAAUGGGCGGAAGCCUGAUGCAGCAACGCCGCGUGCGGGAUGACGGCCUUCGGGUUGUAAACCGCUUUCGCCUGUGACGAAGCGUGAGUGACGGUAAUGGGUAAAGAAGCACCGGCUAACUACGUG
rnacentral:rRNA from 1 species